rnacentral:rRNA from 1 species
ACGCUCGACACCUACGGGGGGCAGCAGUGGGGAAUAUUGCACAAUGGGGGAAACCCUGAUGCAGCGACGCCGCGUGAGCGAAGAAGUAUUUCGGUAUGUAAAGCUCUAUCAGCAGGGAAGAUGAUGACGGUACCUGACUAAGAAGCCCCGGCUAACUACGUGCCAGAAGCCGCGGUAAUCUGAGCGGGCUGGCAAGGC